UUGGUGUUUAUGUGCCUCUGAAUAGCUUUGAUUUUCUUUGGUAGGAACUGACAGCUGGCUGCCAGGAGACUCAUCCAGGGAUAGAAGAGAAAAAGUAAAGUAUGAAAUUUGGAAUAAUGUUUUCAGAAUAGAUCUUUGGAGUUGGAACCCAAGCUACUAGUGGAUUCUAAAUUCCUAUGUUCCUGAGUCGCAGGUAUGUUCAUCUCUGGAAUAGUUCUUACAGAAUGUG
rnacentral:lncRNA from 1 species